GCUCGUGCGGGGAUGGACCCAGCCGCAAUCGCCGCCCCAGCCCGGAGCCCUGUCCUGUGCUCCGCCCGACACACGGUCGCACCUUCCCGGACCUGCCGACCGAGCUGCAGGAGGAGCCGUGGAGACACUGACGCCAGAGGGGCCGUCGGGUUUUCUGGGCCGGUCCUGGGACACCGGGCCGCUUCCACUUCUGGCUCCACGUGCUUCCCGGUCUGUAGCUUAAUAGCCGAAGGACACAGCGCCGGGACGCUUCGCUGGCUGCACGUUGCGCGCAGGGUCGGCACUGGAAUAACAGCGCGGUGGUCAACUACACAGUGCACCCCGCGUGCUACUUCUUUGAUCUUUGUCUCUGGUGUGAAAGGGCCCAGAUUUCCCAUCCUGGGCAACAGAAAUGUUCUUUAUAAAUGUUUUGUAGAAGAUGUUCUGUCCCCUACCAAAAUAAGAUAUUUGGUGACUUGAACUGUCAGAGUCAUCCGCUGAUGUUGGCCGUGAGGUUGAAGAGCAGGUCACUGCCGCAACCACAUUUGGGUGCACAGAACCCACAACAGCUGUCAGACUCUGGCCAUUAGCCCUCAGAGAAGGUGGACCCGUAGCGGCUGGACUCCAAGCCAGGGGUGGGGCUGGAAAGGUGGCUUCUGUCCCUCUGGGAGCCACAGAAGUUAGCGGUGAAUUGAUGGAUGAGGAUCUGUGCCCAGCAAAUAACUAUUGCUCGGAACUCUUUGGUCCCAUGCAUGCGGCCGGACAGGGAGCACAGGGUCAGGACAGUCUCACUCACUGCUGGUGGCUGGGGACGCCAACAGGAGGGGACCAUACAUGAGCAGGGGGUGCACCCUGGGGGAGGAGUAAGUCCUCUCCCAUCUUGGGCAGAUUUUGGUAACUUGUUUUUUGUUUUGAUUGUAGUUUUCAUAUUUUCUGGCGGAGGGCUAGUACAAUCAAUUCGUUUUGAAAUGCUGGUCUCCAAGGAGGGAUGUUUGCACUGUAAUUCGAGAGAACAAGCCAUUGCAUCCUACAUCCCAUCGGCCAAAUUCCACACCCAGCUUGUGCUGAUUUAUCUGCUUGAUUUCCGGAUUGUCCCUGCAUAAGGAUGCAGAGGAGCACAGAUGGUGGCAGAGUUCCUGAUAAUGAAACAACAGGUCAUCCCUUGGGCUCAGUGGCCUCCUUCAUCAUGUUACUGGCUGCAGUGGACUUAGGAAUGCGGUGAACACAGGGGAUAGAGAAUGACUCAGAACAGAAAUCUCUACGUCAGUGGGGAGCAGGCGUUUCAUCAGAGUAUCUGAUUGCUUGAAGAUGAUGAAGGAGGGUUUUGGGAUGCAGAAUUUUCUAAAUCCACCUGGAAGCCUGGGAAACUCUCCCUCCAGCCACAAGGCCCUGCCCCACACAUGCAGCAACCAAUCUGGAAAACCAGACCCCAACCUCUGCAGCAAUAGGACCUAAGGGUCAGGACUUGGUCAGUGACUCACAGCUUCGAAAUUUUCAGUCCUUUCCAUGUAGAACCAAAUGUGGGGAAGGCCAAAUAUGUUCCCCUAAGUAAUCACGUAAGACGCCCCUCUUCCUAUCAGCUUCUCUCAAGCCUCCCUGCAUCACAAGCUCUCGGGAGGACAUGGCUUCCUUUUUUUGCCACCACAAAGUGUCCCCACUCUUAUGUGUGCCCUGAGUCUCAGCCUGAUGUGAGUGAUGGUGGCUGACUCCCAUGCUCUAUAGACAAGUUCUGAGUAAAUAGUGCUUGUUCUCAU